rnacentral:rRNA from 1 species
ACUCAAAGGAAUUGACGGGGACCCGCACAAGCGGUGGAGCAUGUGGUUCAAUUCGAUGCAACGCGAAGAACCUUACCUGGGCUUGAACUGCUAUUGCAACGACUGGAAACAGGCGUGCCCUUCGGGGACGGUAGCAGAGGUGCUGCACGGCUGUCGUCAGCUCGUGCCGUGAGGUGUUGGGUUAAGUCCCGCAACGAGCGCAACCCUUGUCCCAUAGUUGCCAGCGGAUAAUGCCGGGCACUCUAGGGAGACUGCCGGUGAUAAACCGGAGGAAGGUGGGGAUGACGUCAAGUCAGCGUGGCCUUUAUGUCCAGGGCUACACACGUGCUACAAUGGCCGGUACAAAGGGCUGCGAAGGCGUGAGCCGGAGCCAAUCCCAAAAAGCCGGUCUCAGUUCGGAUUGAAGUCUGCAACUCGACUUCAUGAAGCUGGAAUCGCUAGUAAUCGCGGAUCAGCUACGCCGUGGUGAAUACGUUCCCGGGUCUUGCACACACCGCCCGU